UGAACGCUAGCGACAGGCUUAACACAUGCAAGUCGAGGGGCAGCGGGGGUAGCAAUACCCGCCGGCGACCGGCGCACGGGUGAGUAACGCGUAUGCAACUUACCUAUCAGAGGGGGAUAACCCGGCGAAAGUCGGACUAAUACCGCAUGAAGCAGGGGCCCCGCAUGGGGAUAUUUGCUAAAGAUUCAUCGCUGAUAGAUAGGCAUGCGUUCCAUUAGGCAGUUGGCGGGGUAACGGCCCACCAAACCGACGAUGGAUAGGGGUUCUGAGAGGAAGGUCCCCCACAUUGGUACUGAGACACGGACCAAACUCCUACGGGAGGCAGCAGUGAGGAAUAUUGGUCAAUGGCCGAGAGGCUGAACCAGCCAAGUCGCGUGAGGGAUGAAGGUUCUAUGGAUCGUAAACCUCUUUUAUAAGGGAAUAAAGUGCGGGACGUGUCCCGUUUUGUAUGUACCUUAUGAAUAAGGAUCGGCUAACUCCGUGCCAGCAGCCGCGGUAAUACGGAGGAUCCGAGCGUUAUCCGGAUUUAUUGGGUUUAAAGGGUGCGUAGGCGGCCUUUUAAGUCAGCGGUGAAAGUCUGUGGCUCAACCAUAGAAUUGCCGUUGAAACUGGGGGGCUUGAGUAUGUUUGAGGCAGGCGGAAUGCGUGGUGUAGCGGUGAAAUGCAUAGAUAUCACGCAGAACCCCGAUUGCGAAGGCAGCCUGCCAAGCCAUUACUGACGCUGAUGCACGAAAGCGUGGGGAUCAAACAGGAUUAGAUACCCUGGUAGUCCACGCAGUAAACGAUGAUCACUAGCUGUUUGCGAUACACUGUAAGCGGCACAGCGAAAGCGUUAAGUGAUCCACCUGGGGAGUACGCCGGCAACGGUGAAACUCAAAGGAAUUGACGGGGGCCCGCACAAGCGGAGGAACAUGUGGUUUAAUUCGAUGAUACGCGAGGAACCUUACCCGGGUUUGAACGCAUUCGGACCGAGGUGGAAACACCUUUUCUAGCAAUAGCCGUUUGCGAGGUGCUGCAUGGUUGUCGUCAGCUCGUGCCGUGAGGUGUCGGCUUAAGUGCCAUAACGAGCGCAACCCUUGCCACUAGUUACUAACAGGUGAUGCUGAGGACUCUGGUGGGACUGCCAGCGUAAGCUGCGAGGAAGGCGGGGAUGACGUCAAAUCAGCACGGCCCUUACAUCCGGGGCGACACACGUGUUACAAUGGCGUGGACAAAGGGAGGCCACCUGGCGACAGGGAGCGAAUCCCCAAACCACGUCUCAGUUCGGAUCGGAGUCUGCAACCCGACUCCGUGAAGCUGGAUUCGCUAGUAAUCGCGCAUCAGCCAUGGCGCGGUGAAUACGUUCCCGGGCCUUGUACACACCGCCCGUCAAGCCAUGGGAGCCGGGGGUACCUGAAGUCCGUAACCGAAAGGAUCGGCCUAGGGUAAAACUGGUGACUGG
rnacentral:rRNA from 1 species